UAAAAUCACAUGGUGUAUUUGAGGUGGU
rnacentral:piRNA from 1 species